UACGAAGGGGGCUAGCGUUGCUCGGAAUCACUGGGCGUAAAGGGCGCGUAGGCGGCCGUUCAAGUCGGGGGUGAAAGCCUGGUGGCUCAACCACAGAAUGGCCCUCGAUACUGGAUGGCUCGAGACCGGAAGAGGUUGGUGGAACUGCGAGUGUAGAGGUGAAAUUCGUAGAUAUUCGCAAGAACACCAGUGGCGAAGGCGGCCAACUGGUCCGGUUCUGGACGCUGAGGCGCGAAAGCGUGGGGAGCAAACAGG
rnacentral:rRNA from 1 species